rnacentral:rRNA from 1 species
UACGUAGGUGGCAAGCGUUAUCCGGAAUUACUGGGCGUAAAGCGCACGCAGGCGGUCUUUUUAAGUUUGACGUGAAAGCUCUCGGCUUAACUGGGAGAGGUCGUUGAAGACUGGAAGGCUUGAGGCAAUGAGAGGGGUGUAGAAUUCCCGGUGUAGUGGUGGAAUGCGUAGAUAUCGGGGGGAAUACCAGUGGCGAAGGCGGCGACCUGGGCCAAUAUUGACGCUGAGGUGCGAAAGCGUGGGGAGCAAACAGG